GCGCACGGGUGCGUAACGCGUAUGCAACCUACCUUUUAUUGGGGGAUAGCCCGUCGAAAGACGGAUUAAUACCGCAUAAGAUCAUAGCCUGGCAUCAGGCAUUGAUUAAAGCUACGGCGAUAAAAGAUGGGCAUGCGUGACAUUAGCUAGUUGGUUGAGGUAACGGCUCACCAAGGCAACGACGCGUAGGGGGUCUGAGAGGAUGGCCCCCCACAUUGGGACUGAGAUACGGCCCAGACUCCUACGGGAGGCAGCAGUGGGGAAUCUUGCGCAAUGGCCGAAAGGCUGACGCAGCGACGCCGCGUGCGGGAGGACGCCUUUCGGGGUGUAAACCGCUGUCAGGAGGGACGAAUCCCCGGGGGAGGCAAUGCCCUCGGGUUGACGGUACCUCCAGAGGAAGCACCGGCU
rnacentral:rRNA from 1 species